UCCUCCGGGCAGCGCUGGGCUUGUAGGGCGAGGAGUGGCAGCCGCCGGGCGGAGAGAGAUGCGCACACACACCAGUGCGGAGAGAGAGAGAGGAGGGAUGGAGCGAUGCACAGAGCCAGGAGGAGGUAGAGACACCCAGCAGGAAAGGGAGAAAGAGAGAGGGAGAGAUGCCCAGAGCUGACGAGUACUGCACGGUGAUCAGUGGAAAGGGGAGGAGAGAGAGGCAGAAAUGAGAGACAUCUCUCAGGGGAGACGGACACUUGCGAGGGAAGAGCGGGUGAGAGAGGCUGCGACGACGCGCUAAUCUGAUUAACGGGGGAGCGAGCUACAGUAGCCCGGAGAGGAGAAGGCGUACGGGCGGCGGAGGCAGCAGCCACAGCGGGAGGCAGGUGGCACCUCCUCAGUCUCUUAGAGCUCCGUGACCGAGCGCAGACGGAGAGGGAAAAGUCACCUGGAAGCCUCUCUCCACCUCUCGCCUUCCCAUCCCGUUUCUCUGGGGAGUCCCAUGCCUGCCGCUAUCUGGGAUGGCAAAGCCUGAGAGCUGGCACAGAAGGAAAUCAGGGCUCCUUUAUAUGCACUGUACGUAGGAGGGGAAAAAAAAAAAAAAAUCCCGCCCGUGAGGCUGUCAAGGUCCUCAGUAUCCAAUUUUCUGUCUAUCUCGGCGCCUCUCACCAAGCCGCCCCCUCCCUUGCAUGUGACGCAGAUGUGCUCUGGGGCCGUCAGUGUGAAGAGACAGAGGGGAAGAGAGAGGCUUCAGGCUUCGUCGUGCAAAAAUGUAAGCUAGAGAAUUUCACAAGGCACUUCUGCAAGGAGAAAAAUUAAUUUGUGAAGCAUUGCCUGCUUCUGAGUUCCAAAGUCACUGCCACCAUUCCUGCAUUCAUCCAUGUCUCCAUCAGCUGAGUUUAGAGUGCUGUUGAGGCUGUAACUACCAUGGCAUCUGACAACGGAAGGGACUAUUUCAAAGAAUACGCUAAAGUGCUAUAGAAGAAAACCCUUAUUGGAAUUCAUAAUGUUACAAAUGAAGGCUAAAUCUAUAGAAGUGCAUGUUUCGUGUGCUUAAGUUUUAUAGCUUUCUUGCUGACACCAUUUAUGGGAGUUGAAGUCCAGCAAUGUUGUAUAUGUGUAUGCAUGCAUUGCCAAAUCUUAAGGUGAGUAGGUGCCAUUUAAUCACAAUAAAUUCAAGAUACUAAUUCAAGUUCUUCCUCAGGUACAGGAAACCAAGUGUCUCAGAUUUUAUGCAAAAUUUUCCUAGUAGUUUAGUCUAUCCCAUGUGUGUGCAUAGUCCUUGUUGUCUACUUUUUGCUUUUCUCCAUCUUUUUGUAAGUCAAAAAAAGCAGCAUUCAGGUACUAUUGAAAGUACAAAUUGUUAAUUGUGCUUGGACAAAUCCUAAACCAUGAAUACCAGCAAUCUAAAAAAAAAAAAAAGAAAUUAAAAAAAACCUGUUGUUUUGAUCUCUCCAAAUUAUUAAAUCAUAUUUUCAGUGGAUCCAUGUUUCUUAUUUCAUAUUACAUCUUCAGCAGAAAGAUCCAAAAUAUGAAUUGCAUGAAUUGUGUGGAAAUAUUUGUGUCAAAAUUUUGUUCUUGUUAGAAAUGAUGGACAGAUGUGGAUGCUGUCAGGAACAAGACCUCACUUGGAGACACUUGAUUUUUUUUUCAGGUUUUCUAGGUGUGCGCCUCUAAGGUGUCUUUCCUGCAGGGCUGACUCCUGCGUUAUGCUUAGUGGAACAGGUUUUGUCUACAGGCCUGAUUUAGGCUACAGUGAUCAAGUGCAGGGCUGCCCAUAAGGCACACACAGGCAGCACCAAUUUAAACAUUAACAUAUCUUAUUACUGCUUUUCCUUUAUAUUGACUCUCUUUUUGUCACCUGCUGUCUAUGCCCCAGUCUUGUCCUAAAUGACCUCAAUUACUUCUUCCCUAUUGAUCCGUUUUACUGCAUCCUUUUCCCAAUUGUUUAUUUCUGUGACCAUUCCUUAUGUAACCUCAGCCUCAGUGUAGAUCAUUGCUGACGUGGUUACCUUGUCAUGGCUUGCUGUGAGAAACUUCCAUCCUGAAGGACCCAAGUUAUCCCUCCAAUUAGCUGUGAAGUUUGGCCAUUUCUUGGAUAAUUCUGCCUUAACCACCUCUGCACCCCACACCAUGCCUCAUGGUGCUCCCUGUAAUUUAUUUCAGCUUCUCAUACUGUUAUCUGUCACAUCCAGCCAUUUCCCAUGCCGUGCCGUGUCCAGCUUAGUUAACUUUAUCUCAGAGCACAGUUAUAGCCAGCAGCAUAGUCCUGGGCUUCAGCCCUAACAAGCUUCCACCCUUUAUGUAAGUUCACAACUGUUUUAAGCCAAUCUUCAUGUCUAUUGACACUUAAGUACAGACUUUUUAUUAUACUAUUAACACAGGCAACAGAGGGGACUAAAAUGCCAGUGACAGAAGCACAAAAUGUUAUAGCACAGAUAGAGAAAUGUGCCCAUCACUUUUGUACCCCUCUUCCUAACAUAGCUAUUGUCAGUUAACUUUUCCAGUGACACCACUAAUAGUAUUUGGCAUUGAGAGAUGUCAGAUAACUCUAAGAACCAUCUGUCUUUGAUUCCUUUUCUCAAACACUUUAGCCUUCCAUAAAAUUUUACUUCUAUGCUAUUUCCAUAUUUAUACAUCAUCACUGUAUGUCAUGUUUUACUUGUUGCUGUUUAUUUGUCAACUUUGACACCAUCUUCUCACUGAAAUUAUCCAUACUGUAAAAGCAUACUUUAAAA